GACGAACGCUGGCGGCGUGCUUAACACAUGCAAGUCGAACGGAAAGGCCCUGCUUUUGUGGGGUGCUCGAGUGGCGAACGGGUGAGUAACACGUGAGUAACCUGCCCUUGACUUUGGGAUAACUUCAGGAAACUGGGGCUAAUACCGGAUAGGAGCUCCUGCUGCAUGGUGGGGGUUGGAAAGUUUCGGCGGUUGGGGAUGGACUCGCGGCUUAUCAGCUUGUUGGUGGGGUAGUGGCUUACCAAGGCUUUGACGGGUAGCCGGCCUGAGAGGGUGACCGGCCACAUUGGGACUGAGAUACGGCACAGACUCCUACGGGAGGCAGCAGUGGGGAAUAUUGCACAAUGGGCGGAAGCCUGAUGCAGCAACGCCGCGUGCGGGAUGACGGCCUUCGGGUUGUAAACCGCUUUAGCCUGUGACGAAGCGUGAGUGACGGUAAUGGGUAAAGAAGCACCGGCUAACUACGUG
rnacentral:rRNA from 1 species